GACGAACGCUGGCGGCGUGCCUAAUACAUGCAAGUAGGACGCAGUUGCGAACGGGUGAGUAACGCGUAGGGAACUACCUAUUAGAGGGGGCUAACUAUUGGAAACGAUAGCUAAUACCGCAUACCAGUAGAUGGACCUGCGUUGUAUUAGCUAGUCGGUAGGGUAAUGGCCUACCUAGGAAACGAUACAUAGCCGAACGGAGAGGGUGGUCGGCCACACUGGUACUGAGACACGGCCCAGACUCCUACGGGAGGCAGCAGUAGGGAAUCUUCGGCAAUGGGGGGAACCGUGACCGAGCAACGCCGCGUGAGUGAAGAAGGGUUUCGGGUCGGAAAGCUCUGUUUUUAAGGAAGCGUUACUUAACCAGAAAGGGACGGCUAACUACGUGCCAGCAGCCGCGGUAAUAC
rnacentral:rRNA from 1 species